UGAACAGAUCGAAUAAUUCCAAGGUCUUUUUUCUAUAAGUUACUAAACAAACAUAUGCAUGCACAUUUAUGAUUAAAUAAUUUGCAAAAAUGAGACUUUGCUCUAUAGAUACGUUGAUUGACGAACGCCAAAAAGCUGAGAGACAGAAAGACGCAUUUUAGACUGAACAGUGGACAGUUGCAUUCUUUGAACAAACAAUUACAGAUUCAAGUGCGAGCAAGUAGCGUUCAGAAAGAUCUUCAAGAAUGAACAAGGUUAAUAGUUUAUGUUGAUGUUGGUUCAGAGAUACGUGCUUUGAAAGAAUUACGAAAGAAACAAGAAAAAUGAGCGUUAAUUUGCAAUAAAAUAUUUUUAAUGUUAUGACUGUUCUCCAAUGGCGUCAAAGUACUUCAAAUCAUUUACAUUCAACUAUUGUUCAUUUCAGUAUUUUUUAUUUUUAAGAAGAUAAAAGGUUUUAGCUUCUCUGUUUUUUCUCACUCUAUUUUAGUAACACAACUUAACACAACUUGUAACCGUACGUGUGAAAUUUUUGGUAUACCUUUGGAAAAUUCUUCUCCAGACGUUAUUUAACAUACCUGUUUUAUUUCUGAAUCUACCAGAAUGCAAACACUUCACUUAUUAUGCAUUCUUCAUACUGAAUAUCAAACCAGUAAUUUCUGUCGAGCAGGCUAGUUGUACAAAUAUCUUUCCAACUCGUUUUUUCGUUUAAAUUUUAUUUUUGCAUUUAAUAUUACGUUAACACAUUAACGUAUUUCGUAAUUCUUAAAAAUAAUAAAUGCUGGAUAGAUCGAUGUACAAAUUUUUUUUCACGAAGUUGCUGCUGUCACCAUGACAACAACGUGUUUAUCAAUAAGUUCAAUAUCAAAAUUUUUGUGGAGAUGUAUUUGUAGCUUAUAUGUUAACUUUACUACUCUUUGGUUUAUACACUACGGCCAUUCAAAAUGUAUGUAUGAGUUGUAUUAUCUGUAUACAAGAACAAAACGUUUAUGUAAUAUACUUUUGUAAUUUAAAAUACUUGAUUCAUGAUAGCCAAAAGCAAUUAUACCAGUGUAUUUACAAGAAA